UACAGAGGCUACAAGCGUUGUUCGGAAUUACUGGGCGUAAAGGGCGUGUAGGCGGCUUAACAAGUCAGAUGUGAAAUCCUAGGGCUUAACCCUGGAAGUGCAUUUGAAACUGUUAGGCUAGAGUAUGGUAGAGGAUGGUGGAAUACCCAGUGGAGAGGUGAAAUUCGUAGAUAUUGGGUGGAACACCGGUGGCGAAGGCGGCCAUCUGGGCCAUAACUGACGCUGAGGCGUGAGAGCGUGGGUAGCAAACAGG
rnacentral:rRNA from 1 species